rfam:Picea glauca, whole genome shotgun sequence.
ACAUGCAUAAAGUAUAGCGUUAAUGCACCAGAUCCCAUUAGAAAUCCACAGUUAAGCGUGCUCAUUCUAGAGUAUUAUUGGGAUGGGUGACCGCCCGGGAAGUCCUAGUGUUUUACAUGCC